AUUGAACGCUGGCGGCAGGCCUAACACAUGCAAGUCGAGCGGAUGAAGGGAGCUUGCUCCUGGAUUCAGCGGCGGACGGGUGAGUAAUGCCUAGGAAUCUGCCUGGUAGUGGGGGAUAACGUCCGGAAACGGGCGCUAAUACCGCAUACGUCCUGAGGGAGAAAGUGGGGGAUCUUCGGACCUCACGCUAUCAGAUGAGCCUAGGUCGGAUUAGCUAGUUGGUGGGGUAAAGGCCUACCAAGGCGACGAUCCGUAACUGGUCUGAGAGGAUGAUCAGUCACACUGGAACUGAGACACGGUCCAGACUCCUACGGGAGGCAGCAGUGGGGAAUAUUGGACGAUGGGCGAAAGCCUGAUCCAGCCAUGCCGCGUGUGUGAAGAAGGUCUUCGGAUUGUAAAGCACUUUAAGUUUGGAGGAAGGGCAGUAAGUUAAUACCUUGCUGUUUUGACGUUACCAACAGAAUAAGCACCGGCUAACUUCGUG
rnacentral:rRNA from 1 species